rnacentral:piRNA from 1 species
AGAGCAAGUUGCAGAUGAGCCUGAACCAC